UACGGGGGGAGCAAGCGUUGUUCGGAUUUACUGGGCGUAAAGGGCGCGUAGGCGGCCACCGCAAGUCGGUUGUGAAAUCUCUGGGCUUAACCCAGAAAGGUCAACCGAUACUGCGGGGCUAGAGUGCAGAAGGGGCAACUGGAAUUCUCGGUGUAGCGGUGAAAUGCGUAGAUAUCAGGAGGAACACCGGUGGUGUAGGCGGCUUGCUGGACCAUAACUGACGCUGAGGCACGAAAGCGUGGGGAGCGAACAGG
rnacentral:rRNA from 1 species